rnacentral:rRNA from 1 species
UUACCCUCACACAGGUUCGUUUGGGUCACCUCCCAUCCGUGUCUAUUGUACCCUGUUGCUUCGGCGGGCCCGCCGCUUGUCGGCCGCCGGGGGGGCGCCUCUGCCCCCCGGGCCCGUGCCCGCCGGAGACCCCAACACGAACACUGUCUGAAAGCGUGCAGUCUGAGUUGAUUGAAUGCAAUCAGUUAAAACUUUCAACAAUGGAUCUCUUGGUUCCGGCAUCGAUGAAGAACGCAGCGAAAUGCGAUAACUAAUGUGAAUUGCAGAAUUCAGUGAAUCAUCGAGUCUUUGAACGCACAUUGCGCCCCCUGGUAUUCCGGGGGGCAUGCCUGUCCGAGCGUCAUUGCUGCCCUCAAGCCCGGCUUGUGUGUUGGGUCGCCGUCCCCCUCUCCGGGGGGACGGGCCCGAAAGGCAGCGGCGGCACCGCGUCCGAUCCUCGAGCGUAUGGGGCUUUGUCACAUGCUCUGUAGGAUUGGCCGGCGCCUGCCGACGUUUUCCAACCAUUCUUUCCAGGUUGACCUCGGAUCAGGUAGGGAUACCCGCUGAACUUAAGCAUAUCAAUAAGCGGAGGAA